rnacentral:lncRNA from 1 species
AGAAAAAAAAAAACACGAAACAGUUUCCAUCAUCGAGUACGAUAAAUUACCGACCGAAGUCUUGCAAAUCGCUCAAGCCUGCAAACUACAUAAUGAAAAAUACAAGCUUUUCUGUAGAAAACACGACUGUCCAUGCUGUAAGAAAUGUGUAAAAUCUCACCACGAAUGUAAGGGAUUAACCGAUGUUAAUGAACUCAUUAAAAACGUAAAAAUUUCAAACGCGUUUUAUGAAAUCGAACAAACCCUGCUUGAAGUCGCCGAGAAUGUUAAACGACUCAGCGCUAACCGGAAAGAAAUUUUUAAAUCGCUAAAAGACAAAAAAAGAGAGAUUGUAGCGGAGAUAAAACAAACUAGGACCAAGAUAAAUCAUCACCUUGAUAAACUUCAGGAUAAUUUGAUUAAAGAAUUAAUGGCAGUUGGACAAGAAGAAAGCAGCGAAAUAGAAAAAUUGUUAACUACUCUGAAAAAGAAGGAAAAAGAGAUCAGUGAAUUACAAGAAAAAAUUGCAAGUAUUAAACAGUAUGCGUCGGAACUUCAAACAUUUUUAAUUAUGAAUGAUAUCGAAAAAGAUAUUGCAGUAAUAGAAGGGUUUGUUCAAUCGCUUACAACACGUCACACAACAAAUCAAGUCAACAUUUCGUUCCAAAUUAACAAGUCUUUACAGCAGAUCACAGAUAUCAACUCGGCAUCUCUGUAGACAAUGAUGAUAACGUGUUUGUAGUGGGAUGUGAAUCUAGCAAUGUGAUCGUCAUCUCUCCUGAUGGACAGUAUUGUAGACAACUUUUAUCAGUUCUAGAAGAUGGACUUCAAAGCCCACAUGUUCUACACUAUGACACAUCUACACGUACAUUGUUAGUUGCAAAUCAAUCUGAACACGCGUUCUUGUAUGAAGUUAAAUGACAAUUCAAUGGUUCAAGUAUUCGUUUAAAGACUUGUGUUGAUCUUGGUUACUAACCAUAUUUUAGAUAAACUACUUGGUUUUAUCAAAAUUUGUUUACAUUUACAUUCUUUGUUAAUUUGAACCAGUACUCGUAUAUAUUUAUUUACAUCAA